rnacentral:rRNA from 1 species
CAGCAGCCGCGGUAAUACGAAGGGUGCAAGCGUUACUCGGAAUUACUGGGCGUAAAGCGUGCGUAGGUGGUGGUUUAAGUCCGUUGUGAAAGCCCUGGGCUCAACCUGGGAAUUGCAGUGGAUACUGGGUCACUAGAGUGUGGUAGAGGAUAGUGGAAUUUCCGGUGUAGCAGUGAAAUGCGUAGAGAUCGGGAGGAACAUCAGUGGCGAAGGCGGCCUUCUGGGACAACACUGACGCUGAGGCACGAAAGCGUGGGGAGCAAACAGGAUUAGAGACCCCUGUAGUCCCUGUCUCUUAUAC